CAAAUGCCGAGUGGGCCAAUCGCUCGUGAAACACAUCCAACACCUUCUAACGAGGCGCUUUUUUUUUUUUUUUAUUGUCGCAUAACAUAUUAUGGUGUGUGCAUAAUAUAUUAUUACUGACUAAUAUUAUACGACUGUAUAAUAAACGAAGCGUUGACACCGUACACGCAACGGGGUAAUGAAAAACGACUGGCCAAUAUACCAAUACCGUAUGGAGUGGAGUUAAAAAAAUAAAAUAAAAUAACAAAAAUCGUAACAGGGCGCGUGAUGGCCGGGCGACAGGUCAUGUGACGGCGGUCUCUCGUGCAUGUGUUAAAAAAAUAAAACAAAUAGAUGUCGACUUGCACUUGUCACGUGAUGUAUCCGCUGCUCGUGACCGUCCGAGUAGGAAUUACACGUUUAAUUAAAAAUAAUUAAUAAAAGGAGAACAGAAAGAUCACGCCGACAAGUUGACCGGCCAUCGGUCGUGUCAUACGCAUGAUGAUGUUCGGGUCUCAUCACGACUCAAAUAUUAAUGUAACACUUUUCAUACUCGACAAUGGACCAGCCCUCCCCCUGCCCUCUCCGCAAAGCUACGGGAUCCGACGGACGGGCGAAAAUCAAACGGCCGCGACGUAUCGUUUCGCUCGUAUGUGCGAUCGUUUUUUAAAUAUUGUAUACAUAAGUCAUGUGUACACACACACACACACACAUUACACGUAUGUAUAAUAAUAAUAAUAAUAAUGGGAAUGUGAAUAGGAAGACAAGACAAAAAGAAAUAGUCGGGCACGACUAUAGUAAUAAUAAUAAUGAUAAUGAUAUAUGUAUAAAUCACAUACACACGCGCGCGGUUCUUCUAUAUAAUAAAACGACGACGUUCAUUCACACCGAACCGGCGGUGAUGACGGCGGCGUAGGUAAUAGGCGGCCGUGGAGGUGGUGGCGGAGGAUGAUCGAUGAGCUGCCGCGAGCCCGGUUUUGUUGCGGCAACGUGAAAAAUUUGUGGUCGACCGUGUUGUGUGAACCGGUGGCGUUGACAAAUAUUUUCGUCGGUCCCCCGACUGUAACGCGGCCGUUCUUGUUGUUGUUAUCGUACACUUUCCUACGGGUUGAAAAACGGCCAUUUGAAUACGAAUGGAGGCGACUACACGAGCGGCGGACGGUAUAAAAUAUGUCGUGCAGCUCCGGGCGUCCCGGCGGUUUGGCGGUCACGAGAAACGCGCAUAAGACAACAAGAAUCUCGAGCACACACCAACUCUGCGGUGUCGCGCGAACCCUUAAGCGGAAGGCGCCGCACAGCGGUCCGCACCGGCGAUGACAAUAAAACACAAUUAAUGAUUAGUGACUGGGACCAGACCGAGUUAAAAGAUAACCAAAAUAAAUAGACCCGAAUUCGGUGAAAUGUCCAAAAACGGACGGCACCUGCCCAGCGCUAUCAACUGGAAUCGUUCGCCAACGCCAUUUCGGUUGUCACAGCGGUGAUUUUUCGCAAGUGUCCCCCCAACGAUUAUCGUCGAUCACUAUUUUUAUCGCGGUUUUUAUCUAUUACAACGCGUAUAUAGUUUCAUUCCUGUAACGUGUUAACGGCACCGUAAAUCAAAAUCGAAAAUGUGUUCAUUUGAAAUUAAUGAACUUCACGCGUUCAGUUUUACCUGUUUUUUACCGCGUUGCACGUGUCCCCGACACUUGCGACGAGCGCGUUACAUUUCUGAAGAUUUCCAAGGAGUGAAUCGAUAGCUCUAAAAUUGUUUAAAUAAAACAUUUCUCAAUAGCACUACAGAAUAAAAAGGUGAUUUAAAAGACAAAACUUCAAUAGAUUCAUUUUAAGUUCAUAACGUAUUGUAUACGUUUUUAAAAUUGGCGUAAAGAAAAUAAUUAUUUUUUUGAUGAAGAAGAAAACAAUGUUUUUAUUCGUGAUAUUAACAGUAACGAUUUUUAAUAAGUCAAAUGGCAUUCCAGAUGAUAAAACACUCAAAAAAUAUAUUGUGGCCCAAAAUGAAAACGUGUGUUAUAAUGAUGUUAUCAGUACAUUUGGAGUUUUUUUGAAAGAAGCGAUUGAAAUGAACGAUUCAGCCAGAUUUAAUUUCAUAAAACAUCAUGCUUUUCCGGAUGCUUAUGGGGUUCGAACGCGAAAAUAUAUUGUACUUGUAAUUAAGUACAGUCUCGAAAUAUUAAAAAAUACCAUAGAUUUUUCUAUGCAUAACAAAAUUCGCACCCUUAUGCAAGUGGUUUUUGAAAAAAUGACAUUGGUAACAUUAGGAGAAGUAUAUAGACGGCAGAUAACUUUUUUUCAGAAACAUUUACUUGAAAAGUACCCUUAUAAAUUUAUUAAACGAUUGCAAACAAUAUCAAACAUUCUUUUGCUACUUUUUACUAAACCACCUCACUGGUUCGGGCCAUUCGUUGAAUCAGAUCGUCUUAUGAACAUCGAAUUAUUUAAAACCCUAUGUAUUACAGAAGAAGAUUUCAUAGUGGACAUUUUUAAGCCAGAAAUCAUGACACGGGACCAACUAUAUGAAACCCUUCAAAAAAUCGUAGGACUUUUGUCUAUUAAAAAUCUCAAUUAUUUUUAAAUAUAUAUUACAUCAUAUUGUAACCAUA